UGCUGGUGCAGUAGGACAGUAGCUGAUUGGUAACCUGGCUCUCUUCCUUUGAAGGGACCUGCAGGCAGGAGAGAGGCGUGAGGAUUGCAGUAUGAUUGCCCAAGAGGAGCGAACGAGCUUUCAGGCCAAAGGAUUUAUUUUAUAGCACAUAAGGAUAAAAGAUCCGCACUGAAGAUUUUGGAAGAUGGACAAAUCCUUCAAAGGGAUAGCUGGACUGCAGGUUUGGUCAUUAAAAGCUAGAGAGACAAGAGACGUACACCUUUCUGGAAACUCAGACUGAAAAGUGGUGAAGAAAAGGACAUAAGAGAAGAUAACUUGCUGGAAGACCAAAAUGGCAAUACCUAGAGAAAUUAUGGAAUUAUGUUUAAAUAGGGAAAUUUUUCAAA
rnacentral:lncRNA from 1 species